rnacentral:rRNA from 1 species
AUGAACGCUAGCUACAGGCUUAACACAUGCAAGUCGAGGGGCAGCAUGGUCUUAGCUUGCUAAGGCCGAUGGCAACCGGCGCACGGGUGAGUAACACGUAUCCAACCUGCCGUCUACUCUUGGACAGCCUUCUGAAAGGAAGAUUAAUACAAGAUGGCAUCAUGAGUCCGCAUGUUCACAUGAUUAAAGGUAUUCCGGUAGACGAUGGGGAUGCGUUCCAUUAGAUAGUAGGCGGGGUAACGGCCCACCUAGUCUUCGAUGGAUAGGGGUUCUGAGAGGAAGGUCCCCCACAUUGGAACUGAGACACGGUCCAAACUCCUACGGGAGGCAGCAGUGAGGAAUAUUGGUCAAUGGGCGAGAGCCUGAACCAGCCAAGUAGCGUGAAGGAUGACUGCCCUAUGGGUUGUAAACUUCUUUUAUAAAGGAAUAAAGUCGGGUAUGGAUACCCGUUUGCAUGUACUUUAUGAAUAAGGAUCGGCUAACUCCGUGCCAGCAGCCGCGGUAAUACGGAGGAUCCGAGCGUUAUCCGGAUUUAUUGGGUUUAAAGGGAGCGUAGAUGGAUGUUUAAGUCAGUUGUGAAAGUUUGCGGCUCAACCGUAAAAUUGCAGUUGAUACUGGAUAUCUUGAGUGCAGUUGAGGCAGGCGGAAUUCGUGGUGUAGCGGUGAAAUGCUUAGAUAUCACGAAGAACUCCGAUUGCGAAGGCAGCCUGCUAAGCUGCAACUGACAUUGAGGCUCGAAAGUGUGGGUAUCAAACAGGAUUAGAUACCCUGGUAGUCCACACGGUAAACGAUGAAUACUCGCUGUUUGCGAUAUACAGCAAGCGGCCAAGCGAAAGCGUUAAGUAUUCCACCUGGGGAGUACGCCGGCAACGGUGAAACUCAAAGGAAUUGACGGGGGCCCGCACAAGCGGAGGAACAUGUGGUUUAAUUCGAUGAUACGCGAGGAACCUUACCCGGGCUUAAAUUGCAGAUGAAUUACGGUGAAAGCCGUAAGCCGCAAGGCAUCUGUGAAGGUGCUGCAUGGUUGUCGUCAGCUCGUGCCGUGAGGUGUCGGCUUAAGUGCCAUAACGAGCGCAACCCUUGUUGUCAGUUACUAACAGGUUCCGCUGAGGACUCUGAUAAGACUGCCAUCGUAAGAUGUGAGGAAGGUGGGGAUGACGUCAAAUCAGCACGGCCCUUACGUCCGGGGCUACACACGUGUUACAAUGGGGGGUACAGAGGGCCGCUACCACGCGAGUGGAUGCCAAUCCCCAAAACCUCUCUCAGUUCGGACUGGAGUCUGCAACCCGACUCCACGAAGCUGGAUUCGCUAGUAAUCGCGCAUCAGCCACGGCGCGGUGAAUACGUUCCCGGGCCUUGUACACACCGCCCGUCAAGCCAUGGGAGCCGGGGGUACCUGAAGUGCGUAACCGCGAGGAGCGCCCUAGGGUAAAACUGGUGACUGGGGCU